rnacentral:rRNA from 1 species
UACGUAGGGUGCAAGCGUUGUCCGGAAUUAUUGGGCGUAAAGAGCUCGUAGGCGGUUUGUCGCGUCUGCUGUGAAAACUCGGGGCUUAACCCCGGGCCUGCAGUGGGUACGGGCAGACUAGAGUGCGGUAGGGGAGACUGGAAUUCCUGGUGUAGCGGUGAAAUGCGCAGAUAUCAGGAGGAACACCGGUGGCGAAGGCGGGUCUCUGGGCCGACAUUGACGCUGAGGAGCGAAAGCGUGGGGAGCGAACAGG